rnacentral:tRNA from 1 species
GGUCGCAUGGCCCAAUGGCAAGGCGCUUGACUACGAAUCAAGAGAUUCCAGGUUCGACCCCUGGUGCGAUCA